rnacentral:lncRNA from 1 species
CCUUGGACUAGGGGAGUGACAGGUGAGAUCAUGAGAAAGGGCCAGGUUCUCACUCUCUUUAAAGAGUCGAAUGAAGAGGAUUUACUCAUGGAUUGACUGUGGGGUGUAAGUCAAGUAUGACUCUAAAAUUUGGGGCCUGAGCUAUUAGAAAGAUGAAAAUGUCACUGAUUAAAAUGGAGGAAACUGAGGGAAAAGCAGGUUUAAAAGGUAAAAUCAAAAGUCAUCUUCCGGAAUAUUAAACUUGAGGUGCAUGUUAGACAUCCAAAUGUCAUCUUUGAGUAGGAGGUUGGCUGUCUGACAUACAAGUCUGGAGUUCAGAGCUAGAGAUACAUUUGGAAGUCUACAGUCUAUACCCAGUAUUUGAAGCCAUGGAAAAGGAUGAGAGCAUCUGGGAAGAAAAUACAGAUAGACAAGAGAUGAGGUCCAAGGACUGAGGCUUGUGACAUUUCAAUAUUUAGAGGAUAAUGGAGAUGAAAAUCCAGCACAGGAAACUGAGAAAGAAUAGCAAGAGAGGUAGGAUGAGAACCAACAGAGAGUGGUGACGUCUCAAAAAACAGAGAGGGAAGUCUUUCAAGGAGGGAAUUAUCAACCCCAUGAAAUGCUGCUGUUCUAGUCGAAUGAGCGCUCAAGGUUGACCAUAGGAUUUGGCAACUCAGAGGUCCCCGGUGGUGCUGAGAAGAGCCCUUUUGGAUAAAAUACAUAUUGUAUACAGAUACCAUUAUAUAAGGCGGUGUGAUGAGUACAACGAAGAAGAGGCAGACCAAGUGACAGCUGGGCAGGAGAGAAGAAGGUGGUUCCAUGAUGGGAAUGAGAUUUCAACCCUUGGAGACUGGGGAAGAAGUGAAAUAGUAGACAUAGUGGCCAGAGGAGUUCUAGGCAGAGGGAACAGCAAGAGCAAAGAUAUGAUGCUCUCCUUCCUGUACAUACAUCCCUCCUUAAACUGCAGAAAGUGUUCUUGGAUGCAGAAGUCUGCCUGCAGUCUGUUAUGUAAAGGAGAGGAUCGCUAGACCAGUGACUUUCAUGCUUCUGUGGCUGUGACCAAUGUCUCAGGACAUUUUCCAGUUGCUUCUGCCACAACAAUCUCUGCCAUCUCAGUGCCUCCGAUGCCCCUUGUGAAUUCAGGAAGCUCUGCAGUGCCAGCAGGACUUCGCAAAAACCGGUUGCUAACUUGUCUUCUUUCUCUUCCAUCUUCAUCUUUAAAGAAAUCUCAAAGCUUGUGGGGCUAAAAGGUGGGGCUCCUGUUUGG